rnacentral:rRNA from 1 species
AGCGAACGCUGGCGGCAGGCCUAACACAUGCAAGUCGAACGGAUCCUUCGGGAUUAGUGGCGGACGGGUGAGUAACACGUGGGAACGUGCCCUUUGGUUCGGAACAACUCAGGGAAACUUGAGCUAAUACCGGAUGUGCCCUUCGGGGGAAAGAUGUUAUCGCCAUUGGAGCGGCCCGCGUCUGAUUAGCUAGUUGGUGAGGUAAAGGCUCACCAAGGCGACGAUCAGUAGCUGGUCUGAGAGGAUGAUCAGCCACAUUGGGACUGAGACACGGCCCGAACUCCUACGGGAGGCAGCAGUGGGGAAUCUUGCGCAAUGGGCGAAAGCCUGACGCAGCCAUGCCGCGUGAAUGAUGAAGGUCUUAGGAUUGUAAAAUUCUUUCACCGGGGACGAUAAUGACGGUACCCGGAGAAGAAGCCCCGGCUAACUUCGUGCCAGCCGCCGCAGUAA